UCGAGCCGCCAUCACCACAGUCGCAACAGCGGCUAGCUACUGUAGCUCAGCGCUGUCGUUGAGGUCGGAAGUGACACCCCGUCGGUCCCGUCUCUCGGAAGAGCGUUCAUACCGGAACCCGUUAACAGCCCGAGCCCCGGCAUGUGCUCCGUCGUCGGGUGUGAGUCGGGGCGUCGCGGCGCGCAGCGCUUCAAGUUGCCGGAGGAUCCGGAGAGGAGACUGGAGUGGGUCCAGUUCCUCGCCGCGGUCAAUAAGCAGCGAUUUAAAGAGUCGUCCUGUACAGACAUCACAAUCUGCAGCGAACACUUUGAAGACGCCUGUUUGGACCACCGAUCAGCGACCCACCCACGUGGGACUGGAAAGGUCCAGCUCACGUUGAACCCCGGCGCUGUCCCAUCACUGGGUCUGCAGCCGGAAGAGGCUGAGGAGAGCCCGACGUGUGUGGAGCCUGAGGAAACCAAAGAAGUUGCUUGUCUGCGUGAUCAACUUAAAACAUGUGAUGGCCCUACUGCCUUUUCUGAAGAGUCGAUGGCUGUCCAAGGAAGCCCCGUCCCAAGAGGCGUCUCGUGUUCAACGGAAGCUUCAAAUGCUUUGGGAUCUGGCCAGAUGCGACCAAAACAUAUAGAUUUUGAUUUGAUCGGAGAAAAAGCUGCACUCCUGCAGAUGAAAGGGAAGUACGUCGUGAAUGAAACACGCCUCCUCCAGCUGUUCAGCCACAAGUGCCCGUCGUGCGGCUCUAACGUGAAGAUGGAGAAGGUCACCUGUGGGUUGCUCAUCGUCUUGAACCAGCAGUGUCUUCAGUGUGACUACAGAAACCACUGGAAAAGCCAAAUCAAUGCCAGUGUCCCAGGAGCUGAGGAUCAACGGCUGACAGAAGUAGAAGAAGUAACUCCAGAGACCCAACAGGCCGUGCCAACUGGGGUCACAGGGGUCCAUCAGAUUGUCGCUGUUAUUGAUGAGCAGAGCGAGCUGAUCGAUGAGUCGAGUGAUCCGGGGGACUUGGAUUCAGAAGAGGACUGGAAGCCGCUGAAUGGCUCUACUCAUGUGAGAGUGCUAAUAAAGAAAACUGAGGAGGAAACCGAAGAUGAAGAUGAAGAGGAGGACGAAGACGACGACGACGAGGAUGAAGAGGAGGAGGAGGAGGAGGAGGAGGAAGAAGAAGAAGAAGAUGGGGAUUAUCCUCCACUUCCUGUCAAACACAGUCGCCUCUGCACAGAGUGCGGGGUGCUCUACAAUAAACAGAGGCCUCACACAUGCGAGCACAAAGUGAAACCCUACUCUUGCAACAUUUGCGGGAAGAGGUGCGUGAGCGAGAAAGCCUUGAUUACUCACAGCAGAAUCCACGACGAAAACUACGAGUAUCAGUGCAAAUACUGUCACGUUACAUUCAAAACGAAGGUGGACAAAAUCACCCACGAGCAGAUCCACAUAACUCAAGGAAAACCCUACAAAUGUCCCGACUGUUUGGAGACGUUCGCCACAAAUAAGGAACGCAGGAUCCACCUGGAGGAUCACAGAGGCCCCCAACAGUUGAAAUGUCACAUCUGCGGGAUCGACUUCCUGUGGCCCCUUUCCCUCCAGAGACACUUGGCUGUGCACACAGGAGACCGGCCGUUCAAGUGUUCAGUGUGCCAACGUGGCUUCAAGCAGGCGGGCCACCUGAAAUCCCACAUGCGCCUGCACACAGGGGAGAGGCCUUUUAAGUGUCCGCAUUGUGACAAAUGCUUCAAUCACAACGUGAGCUUGAAGAGUCACGUCCAGCGCUACCACUCCUCGGGCUCUGGGCGUGAGCGGAAGAAAGAAAAGGUCGGCAAAAGGGCGAGUGACGCUGGCGAUGCUCAGGAUGACGAGAACCAAAGAGGUGCCGAUUCAGGGCUCGACAAUGUGGAGGAUGAACAGGACACCGAAGAGGAGGCGCAGAGGGGGAUAAUAUAUAGACCGAAAAAGAAAAGCACAGGCAGGCCCAUAGGAAGGCCUAAGCGCAAUGAACCGGACAACUCGGCGGAAGGCCAGUCUUCGGAUGCCAAGUCUGGGAAACUGCUGGCACAGAGGUCCAAGAGAACACAGCGCAGAGGCGAAGAAGGUGAGGCCAAACCAAGUGACAGCGGCACGUCUUUUGAGUCGGCAGAGGAGGAAGAGGAGGGCUGCGAGAAGGCGACGAAGAGCACGGCGAGAUCAAGGGGACCGAACUAUUCUGACAGUGACUGUGAUUUUGACCCAGAAGAAAGAAAGAGAAAGAGGUAAAAUCGGAGCGGAGUAAUGUGGGUGCUCCUGCGGCCAAAGGGGGAACACGUCCAACAGAUCAGAGGCCGGGAUGCGCCCGAUACCAGACCCCGCACAUACCGCCGCCCGCCAGCAGAGGGCGCGCGCGCCGUUAGCUUCGGACUGUUUGGGGCUUCUGAGACGGGAGUCCACGCCGAGCUCCGGCUCCUAUUCCUCGCCAACAUCACGCUGCUCGGCCCGCGUAUUUAAGUGAAACGCUCCGCGACCGGAACAGGAUGUGCUCCGUCCUCGGGUGUGAUUCGGAGCGUCACGGUGCGCGACGUUAUCAAGUUACCGGCGCUGGACCGACAUCGCCAUUUCUUAAACCUGACCCCCGCUGGCACGGUCCAGCUGAAGUCCAGUGCUGCCCCGUCACUGUGCGUCAAGCCAGAGCCCGACGAGCCUGAGGCGAGUCAGGUGAGGCCAGAAUGUUGUCACCAGAUGAGACCUGCAGCAGUGUCACGGACGUGUCCAUGACGGCCUCUGUUAUUGAUGAGGAGAGUGACUCCAUGGAUGCAACGGGGGAAUCAGACGAGCACCGGCACCCAGAGGAGGAGCUCUCACUGGUGAACGAGAAUUAUGGUGAAUCCGAGUAGGAAACUAAAGAUGAAGAGGAUGAUUGAGA